UUCUAAGGCAGUGUUUCACAAUCUUGGUAUCUUAAAUACAUGUGGAUUUCAACUCCCAGAAUUCCCCACCCAGUUUGAAGUCCAU